ensembl:lncRNA novel transcript
CUUGGAGAAGAGUAUUAUGCCUUUAUAAUUGAUGCCUGAGGAAGUUUGUUUGCCCUUUUUACCACCCAAGGACACAGCAAGAAGGUGUCAUUUAUGAAACAGAACGUGAGCAUUCCCCAAACACCAAAUUUGCUGGUGCCUCGAUGUUGGACUUUUGAGCCUCCAUAACUGAUGGAGUCUCACUCUAUCGCCCAGGCUGGAGUGCAAUGGUGUGAUCUCAUCUCACUGCAACCUCCACCUCCCAGGUUCAAACGAUUCUCCUGCCUCAGCAUCCUGAGUAGCUGGGAUUACAGAUAAUGAAAAGCAUGAAAUUCUGAAGAUAAGUGAUGAUUCAACAAGUGAUAGCAGUUACAUGAAUCAGUGACUUUACUGACAACUAUCUUAGAAUGAGCCUUCCAAGUGCCAAGGAAUGUAGGACUAUGCAGAAAUGGAUCCUCAAUGUUUUCAUGGGGAGAUUUUUGAUCAACAGGGGGGAAAUGAGAAAGAAAAACUGUAUCACAAGCAUUCUGAGCUCUUUGAAGCAUGCAGGCCCAGAAAGAUAAGUACGGGACUUCAGUCAUGCCACACUCCUCCUGCACCCACGUCUAGGGCAAUUGUUUUGAAGGAAGAGAAAGACUCUCUCAUGUUAUUUUAUAUUGUUUUAUAUACAGUACCUGUUUUAACAAAAAACAACAAAGAAGUAAAACCAAAGACAGACAGCCCGGCGCCAGGCCCGAAACCAGGCCUGGGCCUGCCUGGCCUAAACCCAGUAGUUAAAAAUCAACUUAUAACUUAUAAACUGAUGUUAUUCAUAGAUUCCAGACAUUGUAUAGAAGAACUUUGUGAAACUCCCUGCCCUGUUCUGUUUCUCUCUGACCACCAGUGCAUGCAGCCCCUGUCAUGUACCCCCUGCUUGCUCAAAUCAAUCACGACCCUUUCAUGUGAAAUCUUUAGUGUUGUGAGCCCUUAAAAUGGACAGAAAUUUUGCACUCAGGGAGCUCAGAUUUUAAGGCAGUAGCUUGCUGAUGCUCCCAGCUGAAUAAAGCCCUUCCUUCUACAA